AGUCUGCACUUUCAUUCAUGACUUCAUGAAUUUAUGAUCAGUUUAGUGCUGAAAUAUUCAAACGCUGCAGGAUGAAGAACAACAAAGUGAUGACACAUGUUUGUGUUUCAAACAGGAAAACCAGCAGAAAUAAAUCAUCUUUGGACAACAUGACAGAGAUUAGUGAGUUUCCAAGUUGCACCUGAAUGCAGCACAGACAGCUUCUGAUGUCCGUGGUUGUAAACGUGUCCUCAAACGCCUCUCUGACUCCUUCCUUCCUGCUCAAAGUUCCUCUUUUCUGACCUUGGUGUUUGUGACUGAUGCUGAUCGUCUCCGUGUGAAGCUCCGUGUGAAGUUACUUCUUUCUCCUUCUCUUCAGUCUCCUUGUCACCUUACGUCUCACUCCUUACCUGAAGUUAUAGUCCUAACAUAAGAAAUCCCACAAACAUCCUUUAUUUAAUCUCUGUGUUGUCACAGUUAGUUAUUAUCAUCAGAUCAGACAUGAGACCCAGACAACAACAUACGUUUACAAGCUAACAUCAUGUCAGCUAACAGACGAUAGCAUCAUAAAACUUUAAAUUACUUUGCCUCUGAUCAACCGUUUGAUUACAUUCUCACAUCACAAGUUUCUUUGCUAAGUGUGAGUCUGCCCACAUUAGAUCCACUUUUCAGCAGGUGGAAUAAUUUAUAGUACUGCUGUGUUUAGCAGCAUGUUUUGCAAAUUACUGCAUUUUGUUUGACUUCCUUGUGAAAUCCAAAAA